GGUGGGAGAGAGAGGGAGGGGAGGGACGUCCGAUGGACGUCUGGGAGAUUUCGGGGAGUACGAGGAGUUGGCGUCCACUAAGGGACUGGUUUUCAAAGACAACCUCGACUUGUGGAAAUGCAGAACUCUUCAGAACGAAUCCUCCAGCUCCUCGGAAGUGAACAGCUUGGAAUCCCUCCAUUUCGAUCCCUUCAGCCUGACCUCCGUAAACACGGUGUGUUGGAAUCCCAACUUCGGUUCUCGCUUCUGGAUCUGUACCGGGGCCCAGUCUGGUAUAGCCAGGAUAUCCUGUCUGGCCGACAUCGUUCCUUCCACCGAGGACCAGUCCUGAUGUCCUCGGACCCGAGAGUCGGCGAUAAGUGUGUCCUGUUUCAAAAUGUAAAUCUGAAUCCUCGUCUAAGAGAUGGGAGCGAAAGAGAGAGAGAUUCGGAAGUA